CAUCCCGCAUCCGCCUGCAUACGCCAGUGUGCCACCACUAAUGACCUGCCCGACCCCCCUGGCCUCCUACAAACUAUUGCUGCUCCCUGUACUUUUUUGGAUGAAGUUAGCACCACUCGACCGAGAAACACGAUGACAGUGACACGCUGGGCGAAAUCGGAGAGAAGGCAAGGACGAGGCGGAGGAGUUCAUGAAGAUGGCCAAGGAGAAGACUGACGACAUUGCCGAGGGCGCAAAGGAGACAAUGCAGGAGACCAAGGAGGUGGUGCUCGGCGAGUCCGACGAUGACAUGUACAAGUUCAAGCAGCGGGUCGAGCAGGGGAGCUACGAUCAGAAAUAAGUGAGAGGGAGGUGUUCCCUUGGUGUAUGUUUGCGCGUAGUCAUGGCCUGCCCAAAGCCAUUAGCUCUGCAAUUUGUAUGUCAACCACUAGGCUUGGUAUCUGUAUGUGUAAUGUGAUCUUGGUACUAUACAACUUGCCACUUCCCGCA